UAGUCCACGCCGUAAACGAUGAGAACUAGAUGUCGGGAGGGUUUAGCCUCUCGGUGUCGCAGCUAACGCAUUAAGUUCUCCGCCUGGGGAGUACGGUGGCAACACUAAAACUCAAAGGAAUUGACGGGGACCCGCACAAGCGGUGGAGCAUGUGGUUUAAUUCGAUGCAACGCGAAGAACCUUACCUGCCCUUGACAUUGACAGAACCCUUUAGAGAUAGAGGGGUGCUUCGGCCUGGAAAACAGGUGCUGCAUGGUUGUCGUCAGCUCGUGCCGUGAGGUGUUGGGUUAAGUCCCGCAACGAGCGCAACCCCUAUCACUAGUUGCCAGCAUUUCGGAUGGGGACUCUAGUGAGACUGCCGGCGUAAGCCGCGAGGAAGGUGGGGACGACGUCAAAUCAUCAUGGCCUUUAUGUCUAGGGCGACACACGUGCUACAAUGGUAGGGACAGAGGGUAGCGAAGCAGCGACGUGGAGCUAAUCUCAAAAACCCUAUCCCAGUUCGGAUUGGAGU
rnacentral:rRNA from 1 species